rfam:Otolemur garnettii contig189230, whole genome shotgun sequence.
CCAAAGGCUCUUUUCAGAGCCACGCACUGUUUUCCUGAAAGAGCUGU